rnacentral:piRNA from 6 species
CGCCUUUUACUAAAGAUUUCCGUGGA